CCUACGGGAGGCAGCAGUGAGGAAUAUUGGUCAAUGGGCGAGAGCCUGAACCAGCCAAGUCGCGUGAGGGAGUACUGCCCUAUGGGUUGUAAACCUCUUUUGUCGGGGAGCAAAAGCCGGACGUGUCCGGCUGUGAGAGUACCCGAAGAAAAAGCAUCGGCUAACUCCGUGCCAGCAGCCGCGGUAAUACGGAGGAUGCGAGCGUUAUCCGGAUUUAUUGGGUUUAAAGGGGGCGCAGGCGGAUUUUUAAGUCAGCGGUAAAAUCGUGGGGCUCAACCCCAUCCAGCCGUUGAAACUGGGGAUCUAGAGUGUGCGAGAGGUAUGCGGAAUGCGUGGUGUAGCGGUGAAAUGCAUAGAUAUCACGCAGAACCCCGAUUGCGAAGGCAGCAUACCGGUGCACAACUGACGCUCAGGCACGAAAGCGUGGGUAUCGAACAGGAUUAGAUACCCGGGUAGUC
rnacentral:rRNA from 1 species